GUCUUAAGAGGACACUUUGCUUCUUAAAUGGACAAAAUGCGUCUAGCAUUAUGAGAUUGAGCAAUAACAGGUCUGUGAUGCCCUUAGAUGUUCUGGGCUGCACGCGCGCUACAAUGAAGGUAUCAGUGUGUUUUAUCCUUGGCCGAGAGGUCUGGGUAAACAUUGAACCACCUUCUUGGUUGGGAUUGUGGACUGUAACUGUUCACAUGAACCCGGAAUUCCCAGUAAGUGCGAGUCAUAAGCUUGCAUUGAUUACGUCCCUGCCCUUUGUACACACCGCCCGUCGCACCUACCGAUUGAAUGAUUCGGUGAAACUUUCGGACCGUG
rnacentral:rRNA from 14 species